rnacentral:rRNA from 1 species
UACGUAGGGGGCAAGCGUUGUCCGGAAUCAUUGGGCGUAAAGCGCGUGUAGGCGGCUCGAUAAGUCUGCUGUGAAAGUCCAGGGCUCAACCCUGGGAUGCCGGUGGAUACUGUCGAGCUCGAGUCCGGAAGAGGCGAGUGGAAUUCCUGGUGUAGCGGUGAAAUGCGCAGAUAUCAGGAGGAACACCAAUGGCGAAGGCAGCUCGCUGGGACGGUACUGACGCUGAGACGCGAAAGCAUGGGGAGCGAACAGG